UCAGGUGACUAUAGCAUCAGGGUUCCACCUCUUCCCAUUCCGAACAGAGAAGUUAAGCCUGAUCACGCCGAUGGUACUGCGUAACAGUGGGAGAGUAGGUAGUCG
rnacentral:rRNA from 1 species